UUUGCUUCAGGUAUUUGAACUUCAUCGGCUAUACAGAAUCCAGAAACUGCUGAUGAGAACCAUUGGUAAAACUAACAACUAUCACCAUCAGGGGUUGUGGAACUCUUCCAGGAAUGGUUUCAGUUUCAACCCCAACACUCACAACAAUACCAGUAGUCCUGCUGAGAAGUUAGUAAUGAAGCUGGACUUGGAGAGGCCAGCAGAGGAGUUUGCAGAAUCCUCAGUACUGGAGGAGAGUGAGAU
rnacentral:lncRNA from 1 species